AACCCCAGAAACCCUAAAUAGCUUCCUAAAAGGGAGGAGGGGAAGGGAGAAGGGAAAAAGGACAAAAUAGGAUGAAAAGGGACAGAAACAAAACAGGUAUACACAAUCUAAAAACCUGGUAAACUAGCAAAAUAAAGAACUGGCAAAAUCUCACCAUUUCCCUUGAGAGAAGCAGGAUGUCUGGAUGCUGCCCAGCACUCUCCCCUCACGCGUGGCAGACAACAGAGGUCGAUACAGGCCUCAACAUCAGAUAAGCAAGACCACGCACGGAUCUACUGUUCUCGAACCUCGCCAGACGAGAAGAGAGCUAAGGUCUCUCUGGUUGGCUUAUUUACACCUCAGGUUACGUAAAGGAAUAGCAUGGAAUACUUUCUGUGUCACCUUCCUAGUUCCUUCCUGGUUACAAGCUGGUCUCCAGGAAGGCCUAGGGUUAAAACUAUCACAGACCUACUGUUUCAGUCUUUCCCAAGUGAUGUCAUAAAAUGAGAACAAUUCAUAUGUUCAAUAGGGGAGUGGAUCUGUGUUUUGAUGCUUGGCAGCUGAUAAGACAAAUGCUUGCUUGUAUCUAGAAAUCAGAUUUUUCCAUGUCUUUCUAGUCCCUUUACUGAGGACAUUACCUCACAGUCCACAAGGCAUGAGUGUAAGUGAAGAGUCCCAGAAAUCCUUCCAUCCAUGCCCAGUAUAAAUAAAGGAUAUUAACAAGCCAUUCUUCUUCCUCUCAGUGCUGCUGAAAACAAAUUCACCAAAUCAUUUAAGUGGUUUUCUUUGUACUACCUCUGUUCCUCCUACAUAGACAGCACGUGAAGGAAAGUAUCACUCUUGGACCUGAUACUUACGAACAAGGAAGAACUUGUUGGCAUGUGAAAGCCAGAGAUUGCAGUGCUGAUGCUUAAGAUCCUAAAAGGAGGGAGUAGAGCAAGUGGCAGGUCUGCGAUCCUGGUUUUCUUGAGAGCAGAUUUUGGUCCCUUCAUGGACCUGCUUGGGAGAAUCCCAUGGGAUAUAGUCUGAGAGAGAAGAGGAGUUCAGGAGAGCUGAUUGGUAUUCAAGGAUCACUUCCUCCAAAGCUCAAGAAAGAGUUGUACU